GGGGCCGCCAUACUGCACUCGUUCUGCAACGCUUCAACACCCGCUCGUCACACCAUGAAGCUGAUUUCGCUGUUGAUGGCCCUGGUAGUGGCCCUCUCUGGCCUCCUGGGUUCAGCUCGUGCUAUGCCUGACCCCUCCCCUGUGGCUGACCCCGUGGCUGACCCUGACCCCGUAGCUGACCCGUGGCACUUCAAACGCAAGCACUACUAUCCCCGCCGGCAUUACUACCCCCGUCGCCACCACUACCAUCACUGGUGAAGAUGAAUGAACGUUUUCCUUUGAAAAUAAACGUUUAUUCCGACAUGAUCUCUCUGUAAUCUUGAUGUGAAAUAAAAUCUUGAUAGAUAUAUCU